rnacentral:rRNA from 1 species
UACGUAGGGGGCAAGCGUUGUCCGGAUUUAUUGGGCGUAAAGAGCGUGUAGGCGGCCAUACAGGUCAGCUGUGAAAACUCGAGGCUCAACCUCGAGACGUCGGUUGAAACCGUAUGGCUAGAGUCCGGAAGAGGAGAGUGGAAUUCCCGGUGUAGCGGUGAAAUGCGCAGAUAUCGGGAAGAACACCCGUGGCGAAGGCGGCUCUCUGGGACGGUACUGACGCUGAGACGCGAAAGCGUGGGAGCGAACAGG